CCUACGGGAGGCAGCAGUCGAGAAUCAUUCACAAUGGGGGAAACCCUGAUGGUGCGACGCCGCGUGGGGGAAUGAAGUUCUUCGGAUUGUAAACCCCUGUCAUGUGGGAGCAAAUUAAAAAGAUAGUACCACAAGAGGAAGAGACGGCUAACUCUGUGCCAGCAGCCGCGGUAAUACAGAGGUCUCAAGCGUUGUUCGGAAUCACUGGGCGUAAAGCGUGCGUAGGCUGUUUCGUAAGUCGUGUGUGAAAGGCGCGGGCUCAACCCGCGGACGGCACAUGAUACUGCGAGACUAGAGUAAGGGAGGGGGAACCGGAAUUCUCGGUGGAGCAGUGAAAUGCGUAGAUAUCGAGAGGAACACUCGUGGCGAAGGCGGGUUCCUGGACAUUAACUGACGCUGAGGCACGAAGGCCAGGGGAGCGAAAGGGAUUAGAUACCCGGGUAGUC
rnacentral:rRNA from 1 species